rnacentral:lncRNA from 1 species
UUUGCGGAUGAAUUUCUGCUAAACCUUUUCGAAAAUGAAAAGAAUGUUCAUAAUAUGUUUCUUAAACCCUAUUCAUGGGUGGAGCCUAAUUUCAAGAAAUUGAAAGAGAGUUGUUAUGUGAAUUUUUUAUCAGUACAGAUUACUUCACAACUUUCGAUUCGUUGUAGAAGUGUUAUGUAAAGAGAAUACUUAUAUUCUUUCAGCUUAUAUAUAUAAUUGCUAUUACUUGCUGGGCACUCAAAUGCUCAUCCUUGCUUAAAUUAAAUGUUUUCAGUUACGUAUGAGCAACCUGAAGGCUCAGGCACGAACAAGGGGAAAG